UCUUGGAUACUCAAGUUGUUGUACCUCCUUUCCUCCCAACCACAGAUCCUCUUACCCAUGGUUUCUAUGCGGGCGCUUCUCACCCAAUUCCACCUUUGGGUUCCUUGGCUACCUUAGCUAAUCAAUUUCAACACCUUCGUGUUCGCAAGCGACUAGAGGAUGCUCUGGCUGAGACAACUCGCUAACUCAAGAAGUAAAAAGCAAUGGAGACUGUUCCUUCUGAGUCCUUGCCCACCCUUGCUUCUAAAGUGGGUGUUUCCAAACCCAAGAAAAGUCGUCCUUCUGCUUCGACUGCUGGCCGAGGAGGGGGCUGUCGUGGGCGACCACGUAAAAUCCAAUCCAGUUGUUCCUCUCUCUAUCUCUACAACACUGGAUACUCAGGCUGUGUCAUCCACUUCUGAAAAAGGCAUUGGUAGCUGGCCUGGUGCAGCUACGAGUUCUGAAUGAGACUACUCUCUUGGAACUGUCAAGAUGAUGGGCAGAGGAGAGAGAACUGAUCGCUUAACCAUGUUUACGAAAACACGAGCAAAGAAAACAAAGAAUAAUGAAGGCCAACAAGUUGAGACUUUUGAUGAGGAGGUUGCGGCUAUUAUAAGUCAAUUCAAUGAUUAUUUGGAGGAGAGGCCUGAAGAUGAAGAAGAUGAUUCAUUUCGAGAGGAGGUAUUUACUAAAGUGAUGGGAGAAGAUACACAUGGACGUGUCCGCAUGUACGGGACAGGAGUAACUCCAUCUCAAAUAUUUGG